rnacentral:rRNA from 1 species
GACGAACGCUGGCGGCGUGCCUAAUACAUGCAAGUCGAACGAGAGCGCCCGGUGCUUGCACUGGUCAAUCUAGUGGCGAACGGGUGAGUAACACGUGGGUAACCUGCCCAUCAGAGGGGGAUAACAUCCGGAAACGGAUGCUAAAACCGCAUAGGUCUUCGAGCCGCAUGGCUUGAAGAGGAAAAGAGGCGCAAGCUUCUGCUGAUGGAUGGACCCGCGGUGCAUUGGCUAGUUGGUGAGGUAACGGCUCACCAAGGCCGUGAUGCAUAGCCGACCUGAGAGGGUGAUCGGCCACAUUGGGACUGAGACACGGCCCAAACUCCUACGGGAGGCAGCAGUAGGGAAUCUUCCGCAAUGGACGCAAGUCUGACGGAGCAACGCCGCGUGAGUGAAGAAGGUGUUCGGAUCGUAAAACUCUGUUGUUAGAGAAGAACAAGUGCUAGAGUAACUGUUAGCGCCUUGACGGUAUCUAACCAGAAAGCCACGGCUAACUACGUG